GGGGAGCUAGCUCAGAUGGUAGAGCGCUCGCUUAGCAUGCGGAGUACGGGAUCGAUGCCCGGGUUCUCCA
rnacentral:tRNA from 1 species